UCUCUCUCUCUCUCUGCGUGUCUUUGUGGCCUGUUAUUUCCUGGGGUUGAAGAAUUAAUGGCCUUUGUGAUUGUUUUGGUGAUCUGUUAGGAAAUUGGCCAUGUUUGGAGUUAUUUACAAGGGUGUCCCUCGACUGGAUUUUCAUGUAGUGAUUUGGUGUUGUUUCACCAGAUAUGUUUGAUUGGAACGACGAAGAGGUUGUGCUUUGUAAAUGCCAUCCCGCCACUCCCUUCCUCACUCGUGUACCAAUAACGAAUGGAAUUUGCGGCAUUUAUUGCAAUUGGAAAUAUUCUCACUAAUAUCAUAUGGGGUGAGGCUGGGGAAAAUGGCGAACAUAUAGUCCCUUAUCCAGCUGGAAAGGAAGAUGAUCAGCCCAAGCAAGUACAAAAUGAAGACAUCGCGACCCUUAGGCCUAGUGAACAGAAGGCGCUCCUUUCAAAACUCGAUCUCCGUGGCAUGAAGCUGGAAUGCUUCAACAGAAACAACAAAAAUGGAGGGAUUUUUGUAUCAAGCUUGGACUCGUGGCCGUAUCUGUCUCCAUCGGAAGCUGCUAAAGAUGAGCAAGGAUCUGUUGGCGCUGGAGUGCCCGAUAAUGUGACAGAAAUUAACGAAUACAAUUCAUCUAAAGGUGGUGAAAAUGCUAUUUUUUGUGACACGAAGCACACAGCACAUGUUGAGUUGACUAGGGAUAUUUCUAAUACUUAUCGCCAAACAUCAAUUUCUCCAGCGGAGACGGCUCAACAUGAUGCAGAUACUGAUAUAUUUGAAAACACCCAAGGUAAAGAGCAUACUGAUUUUGCUGACUAUGGAUGGGAGAAUAUCAGCAGCUUUGAUGAUCUUGAUCGAAUAUUUAGCAAUGAUGAUCCAAUAUUUGGCGAAGUAAAUCUUGAUAACGCUGAUGAGAUAUGGUCUUCUUCUAAAGAUGCAACAAGCAGUCCAGUAAAAUCAUUUUCCGUUUCUGCGGAUUGUCCUGGUUUGAUUUCUGGAGCAUUGACGAGCUCAUCAGAGAUCCUGCAAGUGAAAACAGAAUAUGAGCAUCAAGAUGAGCAGUCUUUCAACCUUGGUUAUGACAAAAUGAAUGAGCCCGCAUCCAUUAGUUUUCAGCAAAGAAAUGUGAUUGUUGAACCGGUGGUGAAGGAUCAGAAGAAUAUGGCCAUGGUAGGAAAGACCCAUGCAGAAAACUCUCAUCUUUUUGUUGAUAGUACUUUUACCCUGAAUGAACGUGCUGAUAAGGUUUACAGGCAAAAAACACCCUAUAAAAGCCAGAAGAAGUCCCGAGAGAAAGCUGAAGGGAAAUUAUCACAAGAUAUUUAUGGGUCCCGGUAUUCGCAUGUGGAUUUGGGGGGACAGUACAGCCACCAGUUAUCGCCCUUUCCAUCAUCUAUCUAUCAACUAAGUGGGACUAGAGGAAAUGAGCCUACCCAUUACCAGCAGAUCUCUGAUCCAUAUGCGCAAUCUGCUGCAUUCAGGAACUAUGCAGAAUCAUUUCCAGCAAUAAUUUCACCAACGAGCUUCCAGUCCGGGGAGGUCAUGUGUCAGACCGUGUUUCCAGGGUACGAGGUGUCUGCUGCUUAUGUCGACUCUACAGGAAAGAGGCUCGAUUCCCCAGGAAAACCUCCUACGAUGACGCCCCAAGAGAAAAUUGAAAAGCUGAGGCGGCGCCAGCAAAUGCAAGCAAUGCUUGCUAUAAAGAAACAGCUACAGCAGUUUGGCGACCAAGUCUCCAGUCCAUCUGAUGCUCAAAUGCUUACUCUGGAAAGUCCGAAUCAGCAUAGCAAGGGGGCUCAUUUGGAAGUUGAUGAUCUGAGCAGUCUUCCUUCAACUGACAUAAGUUCUUCUAUAGAGCAGGAUAGUUCUACCUUCGUCUCUGCAGCUGUUGAUGGCCGUUCAAUUGAGGAUGUGGUGCUUAAUCGGCUUCAGGAUGUGAUUGCAAAGUUGGACGACAGGACGAGAAUCUGUAUACGGGAUAGCUUGUAUCGCCUGGCCAAAAGUGCCGUGAAAAGGCAACACACUGGUAAUGUGAUUGGCACUGUUGUGCAUCCACAAGAGCAUGAAGUCUUGGCAAAGGAGGAAGCAGAGGCUCUUAACAGGUUGGUUAACAUACUUACGGGUGGUCUGCCAUAAUUACGUUGCCAAGGUGACUUGAUAUAGGAUAAUUCAUCUGGUAUGAGCGGCAGCAUCUAAUUUCAACCGUGAUCUAGUUUGAAGAUGGCCUUGUUGGUGUGAGGACGAUAUUCUACUUCUGUUUUUCAAGAGUAGAGUGACAUUUUAGGUCCUGUCCUUGAUGAAAUUUUUAGAUCAACCAAAGAAGCAAACUGAUUCCUAUUUUAAGGAACUUAAUUACUGCAAGAUGGAUGCUUUUCUUUUUCUAUUGCAGUUAUACAGUCCUCGAUGCCCUGGCUUUAAUGUUCAUGUCCUGAAGUGUUGCAAUAAUUGUUUUAGUUUUGCUCCCAUCCUUGUUAUCUGUCAGCUUGAUGAUAAAGCCCUUGGGUGACGUAAAUUACCCGAUGAUGAGAUAGGAUGGAGGGGAAAAUUGAGAAGACAAAAAAUGCAAAAGAUCAGGUGCAAUAACUAGGAAAACAAUGUGUUUUAGGAUAAACUCUUUUCUUGAUUUCAUCUAUACUCGUGCCAAAAAAUUGGCAAAACAAAGUUUCAGGUGUAGGAGCUUGAAACUUGACAAACCGUCUUCAAUUGAAGUAGAAACUUGUUCACUGGUAUAACUUUCUUCAAGUUGAAUCUCUGGCACCAAAGAUAAGUUCACUGUCCAUUUUAUAUUGCUUGUUGUUACAGGGAGGUUAAGCCAGCUGAUGUUGAAACAGACACCAAUCCAA